rnacentral:rRNA from 1 species
UACGUAGGGACCAAGCGUUGUUCGGAUUUACUGGGCGUAAAGCGCACGUAGGCGGAUUGCUAAGUCAGGGGUGAAAUCCUGGAGCUCAACUCCAGAACUGCCUUUGAUACUGGCGAUCUUGAGUCCGGGAGAGGUGAGUGGAACUGCGAGUGUAGAGGUGAAAUUCGUAGAUAUUCGCAAGAACACCAGUGGCGAAGGCGGCUCACUGGCCCGGUACUGACGCUGAGACGCGAAAGCGUGGGGAGCGAGCAGG